rnacentral:rRNA from 1 species
AUUGAACGCUAACGGCGUGCUUAACACAUGCAAGUCGAGCGGCAGCAUGACUGUAGCAAUACAGUUGAUGGCGAGCGGCGGACGGGUGAGUAAUGCAUAGGAAUCUGCCUUGUAGUGGGGGAUAACCCGGGGAAACUCGGGCUAAUACCGCAUAAUCUCUACGGAGCAAAGUGGGGGACCUUCGGGCCCUACGCUAAAAGAUGAGCCUAUGUUGGAUUAGCUAGUUGGUAGGGUAAAGGCCUACCAAGGCAACGAUCCAUAGCUGGUCUGAGAGGAUGAUCAGCCACACUGGGACUGAGACACGGCCCAGACUCCUACGGGAGGCAGCAGUGGGGAAUAUUGGACAAUGGGCGAAAGCCUGAUCCAGCAACGCCGUGUGUGUGAAGAAGGCCUUCGGGUUGUAAAGCACUUUUAGUGGGGAAGAAAAGUUCAUGGCUAAUAUCCAUGAAUGCUGACGUUACCCACAGAAAAAGCACUGGCUAACUCUGUGCCAGCCGCCGCCGUAA